ensembl:snoRNA
CUGAUGUUUAUUUUUAUUCAGUUUCUUCUCAAGGUGAAGCUAACUGUUUGUAAAUGUCAAAAAGAAAUACAGUAACUUUCUAUUCACCCUUUGUAAGUAAAAAGGGUGGAUCCUUCCACUGCUGACAUAU